GGAAUAUUGGACAAUGGGCGAAAGCCUGAUCCAGCCAUGCCGCGUGUGUGAAGAAGGUCUUCGGAUUGUAAAGCACUUUAAGUUGGGAGGAAGGGCAGUUACCUAAUACGUAUCUGUUUUGACGUUACCGACAGAAUAAGCACCGGCUAACUCUGUGCCAGCAGCCGCGGUAAUACAGAGGGUGCAAGCGUUAAUCGGAAUUACUGGGCGUAAAGCGCGCGUAGGUGGUUUGUUAAGUUGGAUGUGAAAUCCCCGGGCUCAACCUGGGAACUGCAUUCAAAACUGACAAGCUAGAGUAUGGUAGAGGGUGGUGGAAUUUCCUGUGUAGCGGUGAAAUGCGUAGAUAUAGGAAGGAACACCAGUGGCGAAGGCGACCACCUGGACUGAUACUGACACUGAGGUGCGAAAGCGUGGGGAGCAAACAGGAUUAGAUACCCUAG
rnacentral:rRNA from 1 species